rnacentral:tRNA from 24 species
GGUGCCAUAGCUCAGUUGGUAGAGCAAAGGACUGAAAAUCCUUGUGUCCCCGGUUCGAUUCCUGGUGGCACCACCC